rnacentral:rRNA from 1 species
UACGUAGGUGGCAAGCGUUGUCCGGAAUUACUGGGCGUAAAGGGUGCGUAGGCGGCCAUUUAAGUGGGAUGUGAAAUACACAGGCUUAACUUGUGAAUUGCAUUCCAAACUGGAUGGCUAGAGUGCAGGAGAGGAAAGCGGAAUUCCCAGUGUAGCGGUGAAAUGCGUAGAGAUUGGGAGGAACACCAGUGGCGAAGGCGGCUUUCUGGACUGUAACUGACGCUGAUGCACGAAAGCGUGGGGAGCAAAC